AGCACACACAGCAGUGUGUGUGUGUGUGUGUGUGUAUAUAUAUGUAUACAUAUAUAUAUAUAUAUAUAUAUAUAUAUAUACAUAUAUAGAUACAUACACACACACACACACGGCGUGUGUUUG